CAAAACCAAUCGAAAACACAACAGAAAUGGCAACUUCAUCUCCGUUAACAAGUGUUUAAAAAGCCCUGUGAUCUCAAGCUUCUAAUUUAGUCUGCAAAUAUUUGUAAGUACAUACUGAAUUAAACAUCUGCUAAAUUAUUUAAUUGUUUUUAGAAGUAAACAUUAU
rnacentral:lncRNA from 14 species